rfam:Stegodyphus mimosarum contig31956, whole genome shotgun sequence.
AAGCGGGAACCCGUAGAUCCGAACUUGUGUCGUCGUAGGGUAACCGCAAGCUCGCCUCUACGGGUCCUUGCUUU